rfam:Trichobilharzia regenti genome assembly, scaffold: TRE_scaffold0032036
AUACAGAUGACGGGUCCCAGACAGGACGAAACGUGCAUCCUGGAU